CAAGAAUUUGAUCCGACUAGGAGCAAAGCCUGCAAGCGGGAAAUGGACGAUUGUAGCCAAGUAUGGCAUUAAGGAAACUAUAUCGACUGAAUAUCAUUUUGACGUAGUGAAUUAUGUUCUUCCCAGAUUUGACAUUCGAAUUAAUCCUCCUGAAUACAUUCUACCAGAUCAAGACAACAUCGAAUUUACAGUUGUUUCAAAGUA